UUUUGUGAUAUAUCAGAGGAAGAUAUACGUGUAGAUAUACGUGAGGAAAUCACAGAAGAUAUACGUGUAGAAUUCAAACAAAAUAAUACAGAAGGUUAAAUGAACGGCAGUACGAGUGUUAUACAAGGUGUCAGUGUAUCUUAUUUAUUGGAAAAUAAUGUGUAAUCAGACGUUUCGAUCAAUCUUUGUGAUCUUCAUCAGUGAUAGUCUGUUGAAAAAUAAUAUGUCAAAAUACAAUUCCAAACACAAAACAACAAUUCCAUAAACUUUUUAGACGUCACUAUAAUUAACGAAGGCGUCAAAGUAAUAACAGAUUGGUAUCACAAGCCGACUUUCUCCGGUAGNUACUUGAAUUUUCAUUCCACACACCACAUAUCACAAAAAAUCGGAACUGUCAUAGGUAUGGUUGACAGAGUUAUUUUACUAUCGCACCCGAUCUUUCAUGAAAAUAAUCUUAAAAUUCUAACUAAUAUUUUAUUACAAAAUGACUAUCCUUUACAUCUCAUUUUUAACACUAUUAACAAACAAAUUAAAUAUUUAUUUACACAUAAAACCAACGAAAAUACACCUGCAUUAACGACGUCUGAAGAAACAAAAAAGUAUUUUACGAUCCCCUACAUUAACAAAUUAUCCCAAUCAAUAACACAAACGUAUCAAGGGAAUCUCAUUCGCUUACAGAAGUCUUAACAAUUUGAAUACAUACAUCAAAACAUUAAAAGAUCCGUUAGUUCUAGAAGACAAUAAAAAUGUAGUUUAUCAAAUAGAAUGCGACAAUUGUAACGCAACAUAUGUGGAUCAAACAAAAAGAAAAUUAAAAACGAGAUUAUCUGAACACAAGAACCAAAUAAACAGACCACACGUUAAUCAGUCAGUAGUCACUGAACAUAGAAAAAAUACAGGACAUAAUUUUAAAUGGCAAGAGACAACAAUAUUAGAUAGAGAAAAAUUUUAUCAAAAAAGAGCCAUUUCAGAAAUNAUUAAUAUUAAAUUACAAGAUAAUCCAAUUAAUAUAAUGUCCGGCACAGAAAAAUUAAAACCAUAUUUUUCAAUUUUGGAGACUUACAAAAAGAAAAUUUAGACAAUCAUUAGUAUAUGCGUUAGUAUAUGGAUUUGAAUUGUUAUUGUGCGAUUGGUUCACAUGUUCGUGAUAUUUGGAGGAGACAAACAUAUAUAUACUUGCGCUUGUUGUAAAGGCGUCAUAUCGCUGUUGUCUCUUUAACCAGUCAAGUGUUAUAACAACACACACACACAUCACAGACUUGGUUCUUUGUUGGAUAGUGAUAUGACUCCUAAUCUGAUUGUAUUGACUAUCGCUGAUGAAGAUCACAAAGAUUGAUCGAAACGUCUGAUUACACAUUAUUUUCCAAUAAAUAAGAUACACUGACACCUUGUAUAACACUCGUACUGCCGUUCAUUUAACCUUUCAAUUAUCGACGAGUUACAACUAUAAUAAAAUAAUACAGUUUGUGAUUUGUCAGUGACGCUAGAACAAUUCUGAAAACUCCUAAAACAUCAUGUGACAUUGUUAAUAUUGCUGGAGGAGAAUAUAUUCAUUUAGAUUUUGAAGAAAACAUUAAAUCAACUCUAAAACUCAUACCUAUUAAUAAAAUUCCAAGCAUUUUAGAAAUUUAUUUUCACAUAGACGGUGCCUCUUCGUAUAAUGUAAGCAAUAUUCAAUUGUAUCUUAUUUAACUUAGAGUGUCAAAUAUUUCUAGAAGUAAUCCAGAAAUUGUAGGAGUUUGGAAAGGAUCUUCAAAACCUUCAAGUGCUGUAGAACUAUUAAAACAUUUGUUGAUUAUGUUUUACAAGUUAAAACUAACAAGAUUAUUUGUAAUAAAAAAAAAUUGAAAAUUAAUCUUUGUUGCUUUAUUGCUGAUGCAGUUGCACGAGCCUUUAUAUUAGAAUAUCAAAAUCAUAAAUCUCGAGUCCCCUGCUCUAAAUAUUGAGUUAUAGAAGAAUCUACUCGUCCAGGUGUAAUAUUAUACAGGUGUAAUAUUAUACAGAAGUAUUGAUCAUCAAGUAAGAACAAACAAAGAAUAUAUUGUACAUUUAGAUGGAGAGCACCAUCUUGAAGGCGAAUCAUCAAUUGCAAGUCUUCCUAUGGAUUUAGUAAAUCAAACUGUUGUUUGAAUAUAUGCAUUUAGUGUGUCUUGGUGUUAUGGAAAAAAUAUUAGCCAUAAUUGAUGGAAAAUGUGCUUUCUCUGCAAAAUUGUUACCUGCUUCGACAAAAAUUCUUUCUUAUAGAUUACAAAAAAUUGCAAAAUAUUGUCCAAUAGAGUUUUCAAGAAAGCCAGUUACUAUAAUAAGAUAUCAUUUUUUCAAAGCAACAAAGUAUCGUCAAAUUCUAUUGUACAGCAGUCCGGUGAUUUUCCUUGAACUUAUGAAUGAAUUGAUGUAUUUGCACUUUCUAUUUUUGCACUCUGCAAUUCGAAUUUUAGCAGAUCGUGUUCGUUGUACAAAUGCAAAUUUUAUUGACAAAGCAGAAAAAAUGUUAAAAAUUUAUGUUCAAAGAGCUCCAGAACAUUAUGGCGUAGAAUUUCUUUCAUACAACAUUCAUGAUCUUUUACACUUGUCAAAAGAUGUCAAAACUCUUUUAGAUCCUUUAGAUUCGUUUUUGGCUUUUACACAUAAAAAUAAUUUGCAAUAGUUUAGAAAAAACUGUAGAAAGCCUACUCAUCAAUUGCAGCAAAUAGCUAAUAGACGCUGCGAAAAAAAUGUUACACAGAAGUUUGUCUUAUUCUCAAAUGGAUAAACGGAUAGAUUCCAUUAAAGUGUCACUGAGCUAUAUCCCUUUCAGUUUUCAUUUCUAAGUUUGUCGUUGCAUUACGCAAAUCGUCUAUUAAAUUGCAAAAACUUUUAUCUUGAGUACGUGUGUCCACAAGACGAUAAUCUCGUUUAUUUAUUUUUG